CAAUAAGCGGAGGAAAAGAAACCAACAGGGAUUGCCCUAGUAACGGCGAGUGAAGCGGCAACAGCUCAAAUUUGAAAUCUGGCUCUUUCAGAGUCCGAGUUGUAAUUUGCAGAGGGCGCUUUGGCGUUGGCAGCGGUCCAAGUUCUUUGGAACAGGACGUCACAGAGGGUGAGAAUCCCGUACGUGGUCGCUAUCCUUCGCCGUGUAAAGCCCCUUCGACGAGUCGAGUUGUUUGGGAAUGCAGCUCUAAAUGGGAGGUAAAUUUCUUCUAAAGCUAAAUACUGGCCAGAGACCGAUAGCGCACAAGUAGAGUGAUCGAAAGAUGAAAAGCACUUUGGAAAGAGAGUCAAACAGCACGUGAAAUUGUUGAAAGGGAAGCGCUUGCAGCCAGACUUGCCUGUAGUUGCUUAUCCGGACUUUUGUCCGGUGCACUCUUCUAUAGGCAGGCCAGCAUCAGUUUGGGCGGUUAGAUAAAGGUCUCUGUCAUGUACCUCUCUUCGGAGAGGCCUUAUAGGGGAGACGACAUGUAACCAGCCUGGACUGAGGUCCGCGCAUCUGCUAGGAUGCUGGCGUAAUGGCUGUAAGCGGCCCGUCUUGAAACACGGACCAAGGAGUCUAACAUCUAUGCGAGUGUUUGGGUGUCAAGCCCAGACGCGUAAUGAAAGUGAACGGAGGUAAGAACCCUUUGGGUGCAUUAUCGACCGAUCCUGAUGUCUUCGGAAGGAUUUGAGUAAGAGCAUGGCUGUUGGGACCCGAAAGAUGGUGAACUAUGCUUGAAUAGGGUGAAGCCAGAGGAAACUCUGGUGGAGGCUCGCAGCGGUUCUGACGUGCAAAUCGAUCGUCAAAUUUGGGCAUAGGGGCGAAAGACUAAUCGAACUAUCUAGUAGCUGGUUCCUG
rnacentral:rRNA from 1 species